rnacentral:tRNA from 2 species
ACCUGUAGCUCAGUUGGUUAGAGCACUACACUGAUAAUGUAGGGGUCACAAGUUCGAGUCUUGUCAGGUCC